rnacentral:rRNA from 1 species
GUAGGGAAUAUUGGGCAAUGGGUGCAAGCCUGACCCAGCCAUCCCGCGUGCCGGAUGAAGGCCCUCUGGGUCGUAAACGGCUUUUGACGGUGAAGAACCGAAAGGGUGCGCCCUUUUUUGACGGUAGCCGUUGAAUAAGCACCGGCUAACUCCGUGCCAGCAGCCGCGGUAAUACGGAGGGUGCGAGCGUUGUCCGGAUUUAUUGGGUUUAAAGGGUGCGUAGGCUGGAGGGACAGUCAGCGGUGAAAAGCAGUUGCUCAACAAUUGUCUUGCCGCAGAUACUACCUUUCUUGGAUUGGGAGGAGGUUACCGGAACGGAUGGUGUAGCGGUGAAAUGCAUAGAUAUCAUCCAGAACGCCAAUUGCGAAGGCAGGUAACUGUACCCAUAUCGACGCUGAUGCACGAAAGCAUGGGUAGCGAACAGGAUUAGAAACCCGUGUAGUCC